rnacentral:rRNA from 1 species
AGUGAACGCUGGCGGUAGACCUAACACAUGCAAGUCGAACGGCCGCACAGUAAGAUCUUGCUCUUACGGGUGGCGAGUGGCGGACGGGUGAGGCAUACAUCGGCUUCUACUUUUUCUUGGGUGAUAACGUAGGGCCACUUCCGCUACUACCUCAUAUAAUCUACGGGUUAAAUCAGUAGUGCUUCGGACCUUUCCCGUUUCUUCUAGCUGAAUCCGCGUUGGAUUAGCUAGUUGGUAAGGUAACGGCUCACCAAGGCGACGAUGCGUAGCUGAUCUGAGAGGAUGAUCAGCCACACUGGAACUGAGACACGGUCCAGACUCCUACGGGAGGCAGCAGUGGGGAAUAUUGGACAAUGGGCGCAAGCCUGAUCCAGCCAUACCGCGUGGGUGAAGAAGGCCUUCGGGUUGUAAAGCCCUUUUGUUGGGGAAGAAAAGCAGCAGGUUAAUACCCCGCUGUUCUGACGGUACCCAAAGAAUAAGCACCGGCUAACUUCGUG